ensembl:snRNA U6 U6 spliceosomal RNA
GUACUUGUUUCAACAGCAUAUAUACUAAAAUUAGAACAAUACAAAGAUUUCAAUGGCCCCUCUACAUGGAUGACAUGCAGAUAGUUAAGCAUUCCAUAUUUCU